UUGCUAACAACAAGCUGAUGUGAUCCAUGCUCUGAAGAUCUCUGAAAAACUGAUUGCUGUUUGGUGGUAUUCACAAGUCUCUGCCUUUUGAAGACAGUUCUUAUUUUUCAAUAUAUCCUACACUACACUUCCAUAUACUGGAAGGUACCAAAGUACCGAGGGCUAUGCGUGCACCGAGGUACCGAAGCACCAGGGGCAGCUAUGCAACGGUGCCUACCCUAACCGCGUGGUUACACACCUGGUAGCAUGCACCAGGGAGACACAAGGGCCGAAGCCACGGCAGGCGAGUUGAAAGCAGACAACAAAAAACACGGUAGGAAACAGUUGGGGGAGAACACACUGUUGUUUGUUAUGAAGGCCCAACUCACCGAGGUGGGAGGGCCUACGCAGCCAACGAGGUCUACUCUACAGCGGGGUGAAUGUAAACACAGUGAAGUGGAGGAACACACAGCUGCGCUGCAGCUAAUCCACAGCACGGCCCAGACAAGCAGGGCCGUGCAGUCUAAUAAGGAGACGGGGAAUGCACAGCGGCAGCUCUGAUAUAAAGAGCUCAGCAAUAGCUACCCAAUGGGCAGGCAUAUCCAAUACAUAAUGUCGUUGGUGGUCGUCUUCGAAUUGAAAGGGAACUAUCCAGACUGAACUAAAUGUAAACUGUUGCUGUUAUUUUUUUAACUUCUCCACCUUCUUUGUGGCAGUUGUUGAUUGAAUGCUUUCAUUGUUGUCAAUUUGAAAGAAAAACUGACUAAGAUAACUGAUAUUAGCCCCCUGUUGAACAUGAUUGUGUUGCACAACAGUUUCAAUAUAAAUACUAUCAUUAUUUCACUAACGUGUUUUUUUUUAACAAAAUAAAAUGACCAUACACCAGUUAAAGAUGUCUCAGGUGUGGAAUGAAAAUGAAAGGGACAUGUGAUUCUUGAUGUUAGCUUCCCUUUCCAUUUCAACCCAGAUUUUUUUCUUCAAUGAAUUUCUUUCUGGAAUCUGCACAGGUUUAUUAAUUUCUCAUUCACUUUUACCUGAUGUGGCAUUAAAAGAAAAUAGCCAAUAAAGUUAGUAAUUUAUUGGUAAGAGUUUGCCUACAUUAUUAAAUCUUGAUGGAGCUGAAAAAUAAUAAAAAUAUUGGGUACAAAAUGGUUAUUUAUCUGUAAAAAAAGGGGGUUCCUCCAAAUGAGAUUACAUCCCAAGUCUAAAUACUGCACAACUAUGGCCAAAGGUUUGUUUUGCAUCACCCUAUAGAAUUAACUCAUUUUACUUCAUCAAGUCAAAAGAAACCUGCUGUAUAAUUUUACGUUAACAUAUUGAAUUACAUACUGCUUCGUCGUUUUUGUCAUAUUACAUACUUGAAAUACUGUACAACUAUUAUGACUUCUGGUAGACUUUUGCAAUAUCAUUUUGUAGUUUCUUUGAUUACAUGAUGAUGUUAAAUAAAAUGUUUAAAUUCUGUUCA